UAAGUUGUUUUGCAUCGGCCCAAA
rnacentral:siRNA from 1 species